CCCAUUUCCAUUUCGCUACACAAGUUUGUAAUGACUAACCAACUUUAGUACAUCUAUCAUGAGCUCCCGUUGCAUAUACUUAUAUAUAUGAAAGCCAGCCCGGAUAGGAUUGCAGAAAAAUUCGACAAGCUGGUUAUAAAUGGGAACUCCAAAUAAGACACAUAGGAAUGCAGCGAGAUUAGUCGAGGUGUGUUUGGCAGGGUUUUUGGUACAAAUUGAAAAUAUUAAAUAUCUUAGCGCACCCGAAUCGGUGUGAAAACUACAGUAUAUAUCAUACAUGCUAUCGGGUUUGAGAUAUGAGAGGAAACUGAAAAGGAGUGAGCACAAAUUGGAAAGGAGGGGAUGACAACUUAGCUAUGAGCAGCAAGUAAUCAAUCAAGAACGGGAAGAUAGGAAUGUGUGGGUUAUUACAUGUUCUAAAAUGUAGGAACAAAUUCAAUCUAGCUUAAUUCUAUAGUUCAUUCCCACCUGCACCGUCUUGUCAUGAUCUAACUUGCGGUUGGAAACGCGGACUUUGACGCGAGGAAGGCGCAGUUUCAUUGGAGCACCCCUUUGGAAAGCCGCCGUGAAAGAUAACUAUCGUCUGUUAGGCCCUUUUUUUCCUUUCUUCUAAUUACAUGCUUGAUCCAUUGAUCACCAUCCCCUUAUUUUUUUUCACCAUGUGCUACCUCCUAUUUUUAAUAUAUGACAGCCAUCGCUGGAACUUUCAAAAAAAAGUUCUUCUGCAGGAACCUGUACAUAUGAUUGACGACGAAUCGCGUGAACCAGCCCUCACGCGCUUCCCGCCGCUCGUCGUCAGAAUCGCCCUCCCGAUCAGGAAGUAUCGUGAUUAGUCAAGAAACUAGAAGUUAUAUUGUCUUGUCUUAUACUACAAAUUGAUCAUGUAUUCUUACAUAUAUGAUCAUGAGGAUUAAGCAAUACAACAAUUAUUUCGUCGAUCUCUCUUUCCCCUUUAACAUGGUAUGUGCCGCAACUUAUUAAACCUAGCCGCCGCCCGUCGCUUUCGCCCGCACGCAGCCCUAGGGCGGUCGGUCUUCAUGACCGCUGUCGGGGGCCGCGCCACACGUACCUAGGGUUCGUCCGCCGGUCGUGUUGCCGACUGCCCUAGAGAGUCAUUUUCCCAAUAUCUUGAUCCGAGUUUUCUCUUUUCCGACGGUCACUUUGAUCGGCAUUUUCUUUUGGUUUUCCGAUAAAAGAUCGGUUUGCGUCGCCCGCCGCCACCGUCGACUAUCGCGCCUCUACUCCGAUAUCGGCGUGGUCCAUCUUCUUCACCGGCCCUUCGGCCUCCCGCGAUGCGGCGGCCCGGCCCACACGGCCGUCGACCGCGCGUCAACGCUCCCGUUGCCCUGUGCCGGCCCUAGUCGUCCUUCUUUCAACCGGAACUGCUUCAUCAUCACCCGCCUCCACUAUCGCCUCAUAUGGCCGCGCACCGACUGCCUCAGCCCGGAUCCAGGCUCCGACCGCGUCGGGUGCCUUGGGCUGGCUGCCGUCUCCAGCCGCGUUGGCCUCGCCACCUGCCAUGGGUCGGCUGCUAGCUACUGGUUGUGUUGGCCUUGCGGGCUGCCUCGCGUCGGCUGCGUCGUCGGCCGCGUCAGGCCGGCUGCCGGCUUUGGAUGCGACCUUCAUCGGCCGCGUUAGGCUGGCUGCGGUCGGCCGCGUCGUCGGGUCGGGUGCCUCGCUGGCCGCGUUUGUCCGGAUGUCGGCUCCGGUUGCGACUGUUGUCACCGGUUUCAUCUCAGACGUCGCGACCCCGCCUUCACCGAGCAACGUCCCCGACCUCGUGCACGAUCGGAUUGGUCACCCGACCGUGUGCGAUCCAUGUCAUAUACGUCAUGCGAUCGAUCUGGCCCGUGUGUUGCGCGCGCCUCCGCAGGUCCCGUGAAGAUUGUCCCUAGGUUAAGCGCGCCCCUUCACUGAUCGAGCAACGGGCAGCCACUGCAUCGCCACGUCGGGCUGCAGUGCCGCCGCCUCGUGGUUCUCUCCGCGGUUGCCCCGACCCGCGAGCCGCCGCUACACCGUCCCUUCAGGAUGUAGCGUGGCGGCACGCGGUCCCCGCCAUCGCCCGAGGCCAUCCCAUGGCAGCACCGACUCGCACACCACCGUUGCGUCGCCCCUUUAGGCCGUAGCCUCGCGGCUCGCGGUCCACGCUGCCAUCUCUGCGUGUCGCCUCUGCGUGGUAUGCGUCGCACUGCCUCCCUUGGCGUGGGAACGCCACCGUUCGCGCCAGUCUUCGUCAUGUUGUCGGAUUCUUCCUCGCCUACUUUGAGCAUCGCCGCCGCACUCCUAACCAGCCGCCAUGGCCGUCGCUCCUCUUCGGUGACACCGUAGCUCACCCACCCGAGCCACACCACACCCUUUGUUCGGUGCCGUCGUAGCUCGCCCACCCGAGCCGCGGCACCCGUCCACCCCCUUCGCCAUCCGUCCAACACUAGCUCAUCACCAGCGUCGCCUCGUCGUCGUCCAAUCAUAUUGGACAUUGCCAAGGGCAUGCGUGAUAUUCAUGAAGAGGGUAGGUUAAAAAGUUCUCAUCCCUUAAACCACAAAAAUAUUGACAACUCCAUUGGUAAAGUGGAUGGUUUUGGACCGUGCAACAAUGAAUAUGGAUCAAAUCAAGGUUUUGAUUGUGAUGAGAGGAACACACACAUAUCUAGCACGUGAAUGGUUGUGUUUCAGAUAAUUGAAAAAGACUGGAUGUCUACAACUUUGGAGUUUGUCAUGGAAAAAGUUGGUGGAAGAAAAAUGUUGAAAACUCCUAGCCGAGGAGGGUGUUUGGCUCAUAAAUCUAUAAAAAGUGUUGCCAAGGACGCCCAAAUAGUAUAUUCGGAGGCACCGUAGGGGCGGAGGGUUGGUCGAUUUGGGGAUACCUUGUGGAGAGUUGAUGCGAUCCUUUCUUCAAUAGCUUGUGGCAUCACUUCAUCAUCUAUGUGGUUGUCCUGGGGUGGUUAGUUUCUUACGGGCAACACUAGCAGGUAUCUACCUUCUGAGGAGCAACACCAGCGAGUAACUACUUAACGAGGGCAAUUCUAGUCGAUAGCCGAUUUUCGGGAGUUAUUCUGUAAGCUCUUGGAAGGGAGAACGAUGCCUUUCUCCAUAUAGGGUGCCUUUUCUCCAAGACUGGAUGAGGCCACACUGUGUUUCUCAACAGGUCAUGCUGCUCUUUCCCGUGUCGCUCCACGUCAUGUUGUGCAUGUCACAUGGGGUCGUGUCGCGCGUUCCAACAUCACAUCAUACCUACAACUGUUGGAUGGACAUGCGUGCCCUACUCCUCCAGGUUGUGUCCUCCUCCCGACUCUCCUUCACUUCUCCUAAGUGAUCGAGUGAGAGCUCAAGACUUUGCCCCUCCCUUUGAAGUGAGUGGAGGCCUUCUAUUGGUGGGUCAAAGGUGGAAGGUUGAGGAAAUUACACGACAUGCCAGCAUGUAUUUUACAAGUGCACCCUUGCUUUUUUUUCUCUAGCUUUAAGGGUGUGAUGGUAAUUUAGAAGGGAAUAUUCUUAUGGUCUUUAGCAUAUUCCUUGAGGUUUUUGCUGGUCUUUCUAACUAUCUACAAAUACUACCUUCGCCUCCUCCUGCACUCCUCGUGCACGAGAUUUGAAGAAUGGACUCCAAGGAUUAUAUCUUUUCUCGGGGAUUUAGUGGUCUUGUGCUAUUCAACCCUGAAUUCCGAGAAUAUCCCAUCGCAAAGGAUCCUUGACUUCUGGUUAACUCUCGGAGCUUUCGAUCCUUAGAAUCAUAUUCUGUGAGCUUCAUGCCCCAUUCUUGGUAUUUAGGACAAUUUCCAUGCCCUUUUCUAUGGGACCCACUAGGCUGUCGUUGAGCCGGGGGUGCUAUGGCCGGCAUGCCAAAUUCUCCAUCUUUCGUGGAUGGAUAUUGCGUGUCAAAUGGUUAAGCCAGGUGUGAGUGUCUAGAAACACCUAGAAGGUUCUUCAAAUGGGAUUUGCAUGUACUNNNNNNNNNNNNNNNNNNNNNNNNNNNNNNNNNNNNNNNNNNNNNNNNNNNNNNNNNNNNNNNNNNNNNNNNNNNNNNNNNNNNNNNNNNNNNNNNNNNNGUUGGUGGAAGAAAAAUGUUGAAAACUCCUAGCCGAGGAGGGUGUUUGGCUCAUAAAUCUAUAAAAAGUGUUGCCAAGGACGCCCAAAUAGUAUAUUCGGAGGCACCGUAGGGGCGGAGGGUUGGUCGAUUUGGGGAUACCUUGUGGAGAGUUGAUGCAAUCCUUUCUUCAAUAGCUUGUAGCAUCACUUCAUCAUCUAUGUGGUUGUCCUGGGGUGGUUAGUUUCUUACGGGCAACACUAGCAGGUAGCAACCUUCUGAGGAGCAACACCAGCGAGUAACUACUUAACGAGGGCAAUUCUAGUUGACAUCCGAUUUUCGGGAGAUAUUCCGUAAGCUCUUGGAAGGGAGAAUCAUGCCUUUCUCCAUAUAGGGUGCCUUUGCUCUGAGACUGGAUGAGGCCACACUGUGUUUCUCAACAGGUCAUGCUGCUCCUUCCCGUGUCGCUGCACGUCAUGUUGUGCAUGUCACAUGGGGUCAUGUCGCGUGUUCCGACAUCACAUCAUACCUACAAGUGUUGGACGGGCAUGUCGAGCCCUACUCCUCUAGGUUGUGUCCUCCUCCUGACUCUCCUUCACUUCUCCUAAGUGAUCGAGUGAGAGCUCAAGCCUUUGCCCCUCCCUUUGAAGUGAGUGGAGGCCUUCUAUUGGUGCGUCAAAGGUGGAAGGUAGAGGAAAUUACACGACAUGCCAGCAUGUAUUUUACAAGUGUACCCUUGCUUUUUUUCUCUAACUCUAAGGGUGUGAUGGUAAUUUAGAAGGGAAUAUUCCUAUGGUCUUUAGCAUAUUCCUUAAGGUUUUUGCUGCUCUUGCUAACUAUCUACACUAGUAAGUAGCAAAUGCUUUGCAUGUUUAGAAUCAGUCUCAUCUCAAAUUUAAAUUCCCAAACUUUAGUGUUGAUUAUCACAAUGUUGUAAAAUUAUAGAAUUUUUAGUAGGGAAGCAAUAAAGCAAUCCAAUAAGUCGGCCAUUUACACUGACUUAAUUAUACAGGUUGUUUGUAGAAACACCAUAAAAGUUGGUUGGUCUAAUAUCCUUGGCUUACUAUGUAUGGUGUAAGAAGAAUUAUUCUCAGACUAUAAAUAUAUUUUAAAACAUCAAAUUUAAACUAAAAGAAUGAUUCAUAAACGGGUUUUCAUAAACUGAAUCUCAUCAUAUCAAUUCAUAAACGGGUUUACAGAACAAUCUAGCUAAGUACUACGUAUAUGAAUUGGGAUAAUAUAAGAAAAUAUAGAUUACAACCCGAAUCGAUUUACUAUAAAAAAGAGUAUGUCUCCGUGUGUUCUAUGGUUGAGACUUGAGACCCCCUCGCUUCCAUUUAUCCAUCCAAAGCUCCCUUUAAUCAUGCAAUGAAUUUUUCAAACCACCAUUGACUACUUCUCACGUCAAUCUAUGGAUCCUUAUCUUGCACUACAGCUCGCUUCCAUUUCUGCAUUAAGAACCAUCUCAAAACAUAACCUUCCCAUCAACGCGCCGCUGGCCCUCACAGACUCUGAUGCGUAUGCCAUGGGAGGUAAGGUUGCCCUGAAAGCUACACACACAGACACUGUGGGCAACAACAGUAAGCAGCUGAACUUUUUCUGCAUUGGUAAACUGUCGAUAGUUCUGGAAGGCAGCAGUAUUGUUGCUGCUACAGUAGCGUGUACUGUUGAUGCGAAUCCCAAUAUUUUCAACCAUUGGAUGGACUAUCUCAACGGCUCGGGUUGAUUCUUGGUCUUGAAAUUUAAAAGUUUCAAACUGGUACACUAUAUAAUAGUAUGGAAAUACUGCCUUUGCCUCCUCCUGCACGAGAUUUGAAGAAUGGACUCCAAGGAUUAUAUCUUUUCGCGGGGAUUUAGGGGUCUUGUGCUAUUCAUCCCCGAAUUCCGAGAAUAUCCCAUCGCUAAGGAUCCUUGACUUCUGGUUAACUCUUGGAGCUUUCGAUCCUUAGAAUCAUAUUCUGUGAGCUUCAUGCGUCAUUCUUGGUAUUUAGGACAAUUUCCAUGCCCUUUUCUAUGAGACCCACUAGGCCGUCGUUGAGCCGGGGUUGCUAUGGCCGGCAUGCCAAAUUCUCCAUCUUUCGUGGAUGGAUAUUGCCUGUCAAAUGGUUAAGCCACGUUUGAGUUUCUAGAAACAUCUAGAAGGUUCUUCAAAUGGGAUUGGCAUGCAUGUACUGGGGUAGGGGGGUAGCGUGCAGACCCUUAUAUUGCAACAAGAAAAGGCUGAAAAUAACCAAUGGAUAGAUAUAUGGUCGAUACACACAUUGAUGAUAUGGUCUCAUGCCAUCAGGAAAUAAUUCAAAUGAUGAAGCCCUUCAUGUGGUGCUUGCAAAAAUGAACCGGAGCUAGCUACUAGUAUGGCCUAAUUCAAUCACCUUAAUCUCUCUAUUUUUAUAGCAUCAAUCUAAUUUUAAUCUUAAUGAUAAUUUAUUCCAACCUACGUUGUCUUGUCAUGUUCUAACUUUUUUUAGCAAAAGUCAUGUUCUAACUUGAGACUGAAAAACGUCGGAAUUGAAGAACCCGGUUGGCUUUCAGUGAUAAGUAUUGCUACUAACCACAUGUCGUGCCCUAAUUAAAGUCUGUUUGUAGUAACCGAUCACAUAUAAGGUUCUUUUUGGUAGUGAGGACUAAUCCAGAGCAAUAGAUCCAUGAGUUGAUUUGUUGCCAUUUUGUCGACUAGUAUCCACAAAGGUCCGGCCAACGAAUGACUCAACACCCAGUUGAGCUUCAUUCGUGAGUACAUAAAAAGCAAUAAUUAACUAGUGUUUCAUAGGUUUAUUUUAUUAGUUUGAUGUAUCUUUUACAUAAGGCUAUCAUCGAAUAACCAAUAAAAACUCGUGGCGCAAAUGUCAUGACGAAUUACACAACUAAACUCAUGACCCGUCGCAACUCACAACCCCAUUUCCAUUUCGCUACACAAGUGUGUAGUGACCAACCAACUUCGGUACAUUUAUCAUGAGCCCCUGUUACAUAUACUUAUAUAUAUAUAUAUAUGAAAGGCAGCCCCGAAUAGGAUUGCAGAAAAAGUCGGCAAUCUGGUUAUAAAUGGGAACUCUGAAUAGGACGCAUAGGAAUGCAGCGAGAUUAGUUGAGGUGUGUGUGACAGAGUUUUUGAUACCGAGUGAAAAUAUUAAAUAUCUUACUACCUUAGUGCACCCGGAUCGAUGUGAAAACUACAGUAUAUAUCAUGCAUGCUAUUUGUGAUAUGAGAGGAAACUGAAAAGGAGUGAGCACAAAUUGGAAAGAUUGGGCUGAGAACUUAGCUACAAGCAGCAAGUAAUCCUAUAGUUCAUUCUGACCUGCACCGUCUUGUCGUGAUCUAACUUGCGGUUGGAAACGUGGAGUUGAAGUUCUUCUGCAGGAACCUGUACACGUGAUUGAUGACGAAUCGCCUCAACCAGCCCUCACGUGCUUCCCGCCGCUCGCCGUCAGGAUCGCCCUCCCGACCAGGAAGUAUCGUAGUUAGUCAGGAAACUAGAAAUUGUUCUAUCUUGUCUUAUACUUUAAAUUGAUCAUGUAUUCUUGCAUAUAUGAUUACGGGGCUUAAGCAAUACAACAAUUAUUUCAUCAAUCUCUGUUUCCCCUUUAACAUGGUAUAUGCCGCAAGUUCUUAAACCUAGC
rnacentral:lncRNA from 1 species